ensembl:lincRNA uncharacterized LOC110306432
AGUCUGGAAAGGAAGGCUGGGUGCAGCACAUGAAGAAGGCACGCGGGUUUCUGGGUGCUGACAAGGUUCUAGCUGAGUGGCACAUCAAAAGCCGUACCUUUUGGGGUUACACACUCUGAGGGUUGGCAAGAGAAAGGGGACAGGUCAGAAGAGAAAGGUGAAGAGGAGAGCGCCCUAAUGGAGAAGAGCUCCGUGCGGAUGGCAAAGUGUGGACCGCCGGCGCGGCGCGGCGCGCGCAGCGCUUCCCGAAUACAAGAGGAGACAAAUUAACUCCCUGGCCACAGGAUGAGAGAACAGUGCAGGCUAGAGAUGGCAAGGGAGAUGUCUUCAAUGUUGUCCUUCAUCACUGUGAACAACCAGUGCUAUAAGAGUUCAGACAAGUCAGACCGUCGGUCCGUGCCCUGUAAGAAAGGUGGUGAAAGGCCAAGGCCUUACCCGGAACUGUGAGCAGGGGUAUGAGAAGAGGUGCACUUUGCCGAAGUCAUCGCCUGUGCACAGGAGCUUUCUCUCGUGAGCCCGGCAGACAGCAUUGAUGUCCGUCCCAUCGGAGCCCUCCGGCCACACUCCUGGAACAGAGCACAGACAGCACUGGAAACUUCAGAGCCACAGCACACAAACACUGGUCACCAAAGGGGCCAGAAAUCCACCUUCAGUCUGGGCUUUAGAAUGGAGAGCCGGAUGGGCGAACACCCGUUUCCAGCUCCUGCCUCUCUCUAGCUCUGGGUUGCAGGGUACCCAGGGUCAGCCCUGAGAAGCCCUGCGUCUUUUCUAACAGCUGUGCUAAGUCACACAGCCCCGGCAGCAUCCUGAGCUGCCUGCAUCCACUGGGCCCUUCUGGGUGCUGCGGCAGGUACCCUGCUUAUAAACUGAUGCCUUUCCAGUGAAAGUCCUGUAAGUGCAGGGUACCUGGAGAAUAGGGGCACUGUGUCCUGGGAGAGGCUUUGGUUGAGAGUGUUGUAUAUUAGAGGGCUGAGUACACACCAGCUCCUUAGUAGGCAGAACACCAGGAAAUAGGGAAAUGCCACACUGAGAGGACUUAGGAAUUCCUACCAGCCGACUGACUCCCGAUUGCUCCGACUGUAGAAACGCAUUGUGAGCUAUUUAUGAAUGCAUUCCUAAGAUGAGCUUUGAAAGAAGUGAACGUUUUAGGCGGUAGGUAAGUAAGCCGAGUGUCGUGUGGUUCGUGUGGGUACAACAGCAUCCACAUAACCACUAGGGGGCGCUGUCCUGUGCCUCGGGAAGAGUUCAUUACCCCUCAGCCUGAGCCUGGGAGCUGAGGAGAUUGUGUAUCAUGGCCCCAGGUGGGAACAGAACAGAUGGACAAGACCGAAAGUGGUGGGACCAGGGUUCGAGUCCCGGCACCUCCGUGGCAGCUCACAACCAUGGGUAACUCUAGUGCCAGUGGGUACAACAUCAUCCACGUAUGCCCUCUUUGGUUUCCACAGGCACUGCACUUUCACAAAAGCAAAAUGUUCAUACCAAUAAACAAUUAAAAAUAAACCCUU